GAACCGGAUUAGAUACCCGGGUAGUCCACGCCGUAAACGAUGGAUACUAGCUGUUUGGGGUAUCGACCCCCUGAGUAGCGAAGCUAACGCGUUAAGUAUCCCGCCUGUGGAGUACGAUCGCAAGAUUAAAACAUAAAGGAAUUGACGGGGACCCGCACAAGCGGUGGAUCAUGUUCUUUAAUUCGAUGAUAACCGAUAAACCUUACCAGGUCUUGACAUCCUUGGAAUCUUUCAGAAAUGAGAGAGUGCUUUUUAAGAGCCAAGUGACAGGUGAUGCAUGGCCGUCGUCAGCUCGUGUCGUGAGAUGUUUGGUUAAGUCCAUCAACGAGCGCAACCCUUGCAACCAGUUGUAUUUUUCUGGUAGGACUGCCCCGGUAACGGGGAGGAAGGAGGGGAUGAUGUCAGGUCAGUAUUUCCCUUACGCCUUGGGCUAGAAUCGCGCUACAAUGGCCGGUACAAUGCGAAGCGAAGCAGUGAUGUGAAGCAAAUCGCACCAAAGCCGGUCCCAGUUCGGAUAAAAGGCUGAAACUCGCCUUUUUGAAGUCGGAAUCGCUAGUAAUCGCAGAUCAGCAUGUUGCGGUGAAUACGUUCCCGGGUCUUGUACACACCGCCCGUCAAACCAUGAGAGUCACCAACACCCGAAGUCCGCCUCGGCGGCCUAAGGUGGGGGAGAUGAUUGGGGUUAAGUCGUAACAAGGCAUCGGUACGAGAACGUGUCGAUG
rnacentral:rRNA from 1 species